rnacentral:rRNA from 1 species
AUUGAACGCUGGCGGCAUGCCUUACACAUGCAAGUCGAACGGCAGCACGGACUUCGGUCUGGUGGCGAGUGGCGAACGGGUGAGUAAUAUAUCGGAACAUACCUUGUAGUGGGGGAUAACUAUCCGAAAGGAUAGCUAAUACCGCAUACGCUCUAAGGAGGAAAGUGGGGGAUCGCAAGACCUCAUGCUAUAAGAGUGGCCGAUAUCUGAUUAGCUAGUUGGUGAGGUAAAGGCUCACCAAGGCGACGAUCAGUAGCUGAUCUGAGAGGACGACCAGCCAUACUGGAACUGAGACACGGGCCAGACUCCUACGGGGGGCAGCAGUGGGGAAUUUUGGACAAUGGGGGCAGACCUGAUCCAGCAAUGCCGCGUGAGGGAAGAAGGCCUUCGGGUUGUAAAGCUCUUUUGUCAGGGAAGAAACGGUUGUGGCUAAUAUCCAUGGCUAAUGACGGUACCUGAAGAAUAAGCACCGGCUAACUACGUGCCAGCAGCCGCGGUAA